AGAGUUUGAUCCUGGCUCAGGACGAACGCUGGCGGCGUGCUUAACACAUGCAAGUCGAACGGGGCCUGACUGGUGGCAACACCGGGCAGGCCCAGUGGCGAACGGGUGCGUAACACGUGAGCAACCUGUCCCGAAGACUGGGAUAACAUCGGGAAACCGGUGCUAAUACUGGAUAUUCCCACUGGGUCACAUGGCCCUAUGAGGAAAUAGCUGUACCAACAGGUACAGCCGCUUCGGGAGGGGCUCGCGGCCUAUCAGCUUGUUGGUGGGGUAAUGGCUCACCAAGGCUCCGACGGGUAGCUGGUCUGAGAGGACGACCAGCCACACUGGGACUGAGACACGGCCCAGACUCCUACGGGAGGCAGCAGUGGGGAAUCUUGCGCAAUGGGCGAAAGCCUGACGCAGCAAUGCCGCGUGGGGGAUGAAGGCCUUCGGGUUGUAAACCCCUUUCAGCAGGGACGAAAAUGACGGUACCUGCAGAAGAAGCCCCGGCCAACUACGUGCCAGCAGCCGCGGUAAUACGUAGGGGGCGAGCGUUGUCCGGAUUUAUUGGGCGUAAAGAGCUCGUAGGCGGCUUAGCAAGUCGGGUGUGAAACCUCCAGGCUCAACCUGGAGACGCCACCCGAGACUGCUAUGGCUAGAGUCCGGUAGGGGAUCACGGAAUUCCUGGUGUAGCGGUGAAAUGCGCAGAUAUCAGGAGGAACACCGGUGGCGAAGGCGGUGAUCUGGGCCGGCACUGACGCUGAGGUAGCGAAAGCGUGGGGAGCGAACAGGAUUAGAUACCCUGGUAGUCC
rnacentral:rRNA from 1 species